rnacentral:lncRNA from 1 species
ACCUUAGUCCUACGCAAUUAGUGUCUCUAAUUCAAAAUAAAGUCUGAAAACCAUGGGCUAGAGAAUUCAGUGUUCACGAUAUCUAAAAAUCCAUACAUGUGUACGUCCCUGAACCUUAGAGGUCAUUGAGCUAACAGUAUUUUUUUUUUUACUUUUAAUAGGAUUGAAAUUAUGUUUUACACUAUAUCACAGAUAUAGGAGAAUUGGGACUGGUUUUCCUCAUUUGCGAAGUUGGCAGCUGUCCCCACUGUAAUGGUCACCGUUACAGCAAAGGUGCCCUUUCUCCCACUGCUGGCGAGCACCUGGGCCUUUGCCUCUGCCUCUCCAGGUUCACACAGCUAGCCUUGGCCCUUCUUUUCUUGAAUCAAUGUAAGUUACUCUUCCGUGCAAUCCCUGAGCAACUGGCAUCAUUCUAAAUCUACUGAUGCUAGGGAUAUAACAUUUUUGG